rnacentral:rRNA from 1 species
AUGCCCCUGCACCCAAAGCUAGAUGCGGCUGUGGCCAUCAUCGAGCAGGCAGACGGCGACUGCCACCCCGGCCAUCUCCCACGCAGCGGAGGCCGGACCCUUCUCCCACCAGAUGUAGCGGCGACCGGACCCUUCACAGCUCUCCUUCCUCUCCAAGAUCCAGGCACGGGUCCCAACCCCUUGUGCUACCAGAUCCUGGGGUCGUCGGUGGACCACGAUGCUGUCAUCCUCCCCCUCCUGACGAGCUCGUCCUGA